rnacentral:rRNA from 1 species
UGUUCACAAGCUCGCGCUCUGGGAUGGAUCUGCGGCCCAUCAGCUAGUUGGUGAGGUAACGGCUCACCAAGGCUACGACGGGUAGCUGGUCUGAGAGGAUGAUCAGCCACACUGGAACUGAGACACGGUCCAGACUCCUACGGGAGGCAGCAGUGGGGAAUCUUGCGCAAUGGGCGAAAGCCUGACGCAGCGACGCCGCGUGGGUGACGAAGGCCUUCGGGUUGUAAAGCCCUGUGGGGAGGAACGAACCGUCCGGGGGCCAAUACCCUCCGGGGCCUGACGGUACCUCUUUAGCAAGCAUCGGCUAACUCUGUGCCAGCAGCCGCGGUAAGACAGAGGAUGCGAACGUUGCUCGGAAUUACUGGGCGUAAAGCGUGCGUAGGUGGCCUUGUAAGUCUCGUGUGAAAGCCCUCUGCUCAACGGAGGAAGUGCACGGGAUACUGCGAGGCUGGAGUACAGAAGAGGACAGCGGAAUUCCCGGUGUAGAGGUGAAAUUCGUAGAUAUCGGGAG